rnacentral:piRNA from 1 species
UAAGGAAGCUGGGAGUGUGUGG